CAUUUUCAAGUACUAUUCAUUUACAAAAAGGUGGAUAUGUUCCAUGGGUGUCAGUAUGUUGGUAUUUGGAAUGAUUUAUUCGUCUCACCUGCUAAUUUUGCUUUCAGUACAUCGAUUGAGACAAGUGUGUAUGUCAUUGAGACCACAGAUGACACAACAGUCGGUAAAAUACUGGAUUAUUGGUUGCUUUUUGGCUGCAAUAAGUUUUACAUCUCCAAAGCCCGAAUUACAGUUCCACGAACAGAUAAACUUUAGAAAUAACAUAACUGGACAUAUUUGCCCUAUUUCAUCCUCCCAGCCGUCCAAAUAUGCCGUCAUCUAUAGUUAUUUUUCACUUUUAUUGUUUGCAUUUUAUGCCAUUAUCCUGGUCGUAAUCUACCUGACCAUUGGCAUACGAAUGUACAUUCAUUACCAAGAUAGACGGAGGAAAAGUGUAAAUACUAUUGAAGAAAAUAUUUCCAGUAAAAUGACCAAAAUAACAUUAACCGUAUCCAUAAUUUUUACACUGAGUUAUCUACCGGUGUUUUUGCUUCAGAUCACGUUACCGUCGAUACAAGCGGACAAAUUAAACUAUAUCCAGAAAGCAAUUUUGCGCAUACUUGAACAGUGUUACGUCAUUAACCACGUAGCUAAUCCUUUUAUUUACAGCAUUUUCGAUGAAUCCUUUCGGAAAAACUUCAUCCGGCUAGUAUUAUGUAAGUUCGUUAAACCAAAAAAGACGAAAACCAAUGUUUUAGAAUCUGCCGUAACAGCAUCAUCUGUAGUGUUAGAGUCAAUGAUAUAGCAUAGCAUUUCCCUUUUCGUAUUAUACUGCAGGUACAACUAAUCAAAAAGCUUUGGGAAUUAAAAAACUUAUUCAAAGCAUUGUACAAAUAUGAUUUGUUAUGUAUAUGAUUUGAGAUUAGCAAGUUUAAUUACAAAUGUAUUUUGUUUCAAAAAUGUUGCAUUUUGCAAUAGAAAGACAACCA
rnacentral:lncRNA from 1 species